rnacentral:tRNA from 1 species
GGCUGUAGCUCGGGGGUAGAGCACUUGCUUAGAAUGCAUGAGGUGCUGGGUUUGAUCCUCAGCACCA